CCACAGCACCUGCACCAUGAAUGAAGGACCAGGAGAAUCUACUGCCCAUGGAUUCUAGAGAUGACCCACCAACAGCCAAACAAUCAGCCUGGAACAGCAGCAAAGGAGCAACAGCCAACAGUGUAUCUCUAGCAGCCGUUUCUCCCUGUUUACCAGAACAUGAAAUUCCAAAGCAGACCUGUGCCAUAAUCUGCCCAUACACAGCGCUCCUCCUGCGAGAUAGGAAGACAGAUGGGGGAUGGCCAACGCUCAAGGGGAGUGAGUCUGGAAGGUCCAAAGACACAGAGACCCCAUCUGGAACAAGCCCUCAGAGCAGCUUCUACAAGCCACCAUGAAGUUCUG